CAAAAAAAAUUGGUCAUCUACCUUUAAAUAUGUUUCAGAGCUUGGGAAUUUAUUGCUUGUAAUGUAAGGAAAAGAGGGUCCUUAUUAGUGACAGUUCCGAGUCUUGAGGAAUCACUUUCAAAGCUCCAGACAGAUGUACAGCUCAGUCAGUGGGUCGAAGAGGUGCAGCUAAACUAUGAUGUGUAUAUGGAAAAGGAUGUUGACAGAGAAGCACUCGAACAGAUACAUUUAUACAAGAUCCUCUAGUACCUGGGAAAAUUUACUAGUAUCCUUAUGAUAUAUAUUUUGGGCCUAAAAUGAAUUUGGAUUGAUCUGUGUGAAUAAAUCCAGUCAAAAUCCA